UACAGAGGGUGCGAGCGUUGUUCGGAAUUACUGGGCGUAAAGCGUCGCGCAGGUCGGUUAUGAUAAGACAGUUGUGAAAUCCCCGGGCUCAACCUGGGAACUGCAUCUGUGACUGCAUAGCUAGAGUACGGUAGAGGGGGAUGGAAUUCCGCGUGUAGCAGUGAAAUGCGUAGAUAUGCGGAGGAACACCGAUGGCGAAGGCAAUCCCCUGGGCGACCAUGUG
rnacentral:rRNA from 1 species